rnacentral:rRNA from 1 species
CAACGUGGGUAACCUGCCUUAUAGUGGGGGAUAGCCUUUCGAAAGGAAGAUUAAUACCGCAUAAGAUUGUAGUAUCGCAUGAUAUAGCAAUUAAAGGAGCAAUCCGCUAUAAGAUGGACCCGCGUCGCAUUAGCUAGUUGGUGAGGUGAUGGCUCACCAAGGCGACGAUGCGUAGCCGACCUGAGAGGGUGAUCGGCCACAUUGGGACUGAGACACGGCCCAGACUCCUACGGGAGGCAGCAUG